GGAAGGUAGUAAGAGUAGAUUCAUUUAGCCUAUCAUCACAAUGUUAGCGAUUUAUUUUACACCUAAGUCAUGUAUAAGUAGGUUUAUUUCACUCUAGUGUGUAGUAUUUCACUGUAAGGCAUGUUAAGGGUGUAAAUGUCUGUAACUUACUGAAGGUUGUUGGUCUACACUGUAAGACUUAUUAGGGGUAUAACUUGUCCGUAACUUACUGAAGGUUGUUGGUCUACACUGUAAGACUUAUUAGGGGUAUAACUUGUCCGUAACUUACUGAAGGUUGGUAGUCUACACUGUAAGACUUAUUAGGGGUAUAACUUGUCCGUAACUUACUGAAGGUUGUUGGUCUACACUGUAAGACUAAUUAGGGGUAUAACUUGUCUGUAACUUACUGAAGGUUGGUAGUCUACACUGUAAGUCUUA